rnacentral:pre_miRNA from 1 species
ACGAUAUGAAAUAAGUGGAGUAGUGGUCUCAUCGCUUAGUAUUAGAAAAGUGAGAUUCUACUUCUCCGACUUAAUUCAUAUCUA